AGGACUAUAAUUUAUAAAAAAUAUUUAAUUUGCACUUAAAAAAAACUCCCGGAGUUUGUCUUA
rnacentral:tRNA from 2 species